CAAAAAAAUAUUAUGGUGAUGACAAAAGUAACUUACUUUUGAAUAAAAAAGUGGUUAAAAUUUGCCACAUUAAAAGUUUUUUUCUUGUUUUGAAAAUGAAAACUUUUACUGCUACAGUUUUUGAAAAUCUCAUUGCUAACUUAUUUAAAAGUUUUAACUUUUAAUUCGACUGUAUAAUUUCUUUCAUUUUGUCGUUCUCGUGAAACCGUGUAAGUCCAAAAUGUAAACAAACGUUUAGGUGAUUCCGGUGGUUAUUGAGUGGUGGUCCACGACGUCAAUCAAAACAGAACGCGACCGCAGCCAGGACUUGAACGCGGAUACCUUCGAAGGAGGAUGGUGCGGAACAAGGUUGGGGGAUUAGGGAAAAGUUGGUUUUCAAAAGGAUAAGGCCAGCUUCCUGCCGGAUCUGCAGCUGUUUCACGACCGAAAUGGGACGCCGUUUAUGCGGAUGUGAAUUUGCACCGGUUGUAUUCGGUGGUGGUGGCCCGGGGUGGGUAGACGAGAUUGAAGUUGGAGCAGAUUUACAUCCGCUUUUUGAACAAGUUUGAUAAAGUAAAUUUCAACGGUGAGGAGAAGGAUCCGACGGAAGAGGGAAACGACGAGAAGCGAUCGGAGGUGGUCAGCGCGGAUGUUGCACUUGGACCCUCAGCAUCAUUAUGUGCCGGAAGUGAUGACGGGACAGUGUGGGAUGUCCUAAGGGUCCGCAGUCCAUUUCUCGGUGCGGGACAUGUUUGACGAGUAUUACCUAAACAUCCGGAAGAACAGUUUGCACCAGUUCUGGAAGGACCAUCUGUACGAAAGCCGCAGGUCCUGAAGCUGUCGUACUCGGAUUACUUCUAGAGGUUGAAGCGAUAUCCGACGAACCUGAUCAAGAACAUCUAGCUGGAAUACCGAAGAAUUCACCGCAACGCCCGCCCGCAAACGCUCAACUCGCGACGGCGCAGCUUCGGCCGAAUGAACUGGCAACAUCUGUGUCAUUCUCGAAAGAGGACGAAGUGAUCGGGAACUAUCGGUUCAGGCGCUUCACUUCCCAGUCGGAAAACGUCGACUUCCCUUCCCGAAUCAACACCCAAUGGCCAACUCCUCCAAGCCUGUCCUGAUGAUGGCCGGCAACGAGACCACCCUGUUCUCUACAUUGCUGUCGCGCUCAAAAAUGAAGGCCGCGAUGUUAAGCAGCAUAAGCAGCAGUUUUAAUAUAAACAUAAAAAUAAAAAUAGAAAUAAAAUAAUUGUUAAAUGUUAUUUAUUGUUGCCAUAAAAAGUUUCUUCUUAUAAUAAAAGUAAAAAACUUUUACCGAUACAACGAUUUUGUUCCAGAAAUGCAUGGUAGUAUCAAAAACUUUCCAACUUUUAAAUUAAAAAGUUUGAACUUUCUACGAAUAUUCACCAACGCGAACUUUUAAUCCAACGAACGAUCUUUUUAAAUUCAGAGUAUUUUUUCUUUGUGUGUAUACAAUUGUUUAGCUCACAAAUAAUUUU